GACGAACGCUGGCGGCGUGCUUAACACAUGCAAGUCGAGCGGUAAGGCCCUUUCGGGGGUACACGAGCGGCGAACGGGUGAGUAACACGUGGGUGACCUGCCCUCAGCUCUGGGAUAAGCCUGGGAAACCGGGUCUAAUACUGGAUAUGACUCCAUGACGCAUGUUGUGGGGUGGAAAGCCUUGUGCGGCUGAGGAUGGGCCCGCGGCCUAUCAGCUUGUUGGUGGGGUGAGGCCUACCAAGGCGACGACGGGUAGCCGGCCUGAGGAGGGCGACCGGCCACACUGGGACUGAGACACGGCCCAGACUCCUACGGGAGGCAGCAGGUGGGGAAUCUUGCGCAAGUGGGCGAAAGCCUGACGCAGCGACGCCGCGUGA
rnacentral:rRNA from 1 species